UUCUAUCCUGCACAGAAGCACCUUAAGCUCAGGAAGAAAACAACUCAAUAGCUCCAGGAAGUUCCUGAAACUGACCAGGUUCUUUAGGUCCCUCCCUGCCCAAGCAUAUGUAAGCACUAAGAUCCCCUGAGAGUCACUCUCAGGACAGCUGUGCUGCUUGGAAGAGGCUCAGAUAAACUGAGACACCUGGAAAGGACACUGCACAGACUGUUGAGAUGCCUGUGCAUUGUUCAGUGUGCUCCAGAUUUCCAGCUUUCAUGAGCUAUCAUCCAUGUUGGGGUGGACUUUUAGUAAUUCAGCUGUCUUUGAGUCAUUUCUGCUCUGUCUGGGUAUUUAAUUAAUGCUGAUGUGAAGAAUUACACUAGAGGAUGUAUAAAAUGACUUGUGGUGACAACUACUCAUGAAGUAUAAAUGUGAAGAUCAGGAGUGAUUUUAAAAGAAUGAUUAUAGACUUCUCCUAGGUAGCCAGGCUCCUAAAUGCUCUGUGAAAGAUGAUGCAAGAUGCCCAUUAAUAAACUGAAGCAACUACA